GCCAGCAAGGCCACCGGCCAAUCUCCUGAUCCAUUCAACCUAGAAGCUUCUCUGUGGGUCCCUCACGUGAGGAGACCGGGGCUGGAAUGAGAGUUCAUUUACCAGCUGAGUCUUUAUUUGGAGGGCGCAUCACCAUCUACAGCUGUGGCGUGGGGAACUACCAGAACACCGAGUUCCACCUUGGAUAGAGGUCCUCAGCAAAAUGUCUCAAGUACUCUCAGCAUGCAGUGCAGACGGGACAGACAUGAGCAGCCAGACCAGCUCUUCUUCCUGUUAUGUAUUCCCUUGGGGGGGGUGUGGGCAGAU